rnacentral:lncRNA from 1 species
ACAUUUUUCGUAAUAAACUGACGGUACUUAACGUAGUUGGCUACAUAUUUAGUGACAAUUCACUACAAUUUUAAUUUUGAAGUUAAUUGCUUUACACCUCUUAUUGAAUUUGUUUUUUAAAUUAACAUGGUAAAUAACUUGCUAAUUAACUUUUUCUAAAUAAAAAAGAAACAAACAUUCCCGGUAGAGAUGUCAACAGGUCGGAUUCGAGGUGGAUUUUUAAAAAUCCGAACCCGAACCCGACUCCAAACCCGAGACCCGAAUCCGACGGAUUUUAAAAAUCUAUAUUCAAACCCGAACCUGACCAAACAUUCGAAACCCGAACCCGAACCCGAAACACUUAUUUCUUUUUUCAAUAUUUCAAAAUAUAUUAUAUUAAAUCUAAAAUUUUUAAAUAUAAAUUCAAAUAUAACAUCAAAUUUUUAUAUAUAUAUUAUAUAUAAUACAAAAUAAAUUUGGGUUCGGGUCGGGUUCGGGUUCGGAUUAGGGUUGGGUACAAUCAAAAUCUAUAUCCGAAUCCAUAUCCGUCGGGUUUUAUAUUUUUUAUAUUCAUAUCCGAAUCCAUAUCUAUAUCCAUCGAAUAUAUCCAUUUUAUUCGGGUUCAGAUUCAGAUAAAUUUUCGGAUAUCCAUAUCCGUUGACAUCUCUAAUU